rnacentral:rRNA from 1 species
GGUAUCUUUAUAGCAUAGAGCCAGAGCGGUAGGAUUUGGGUCACCUCCCACCCGUGUUUAUUUACCUCGUUGCUUCGGCGGGCCCGCCUUAACUGGCCGCCGGGGGGCUCACGCCCCCGGGCCCGCGCCCGCCGAAGACACCCCCGAACUCUGCCUGAAGAUUGUCGUCUGAGUGAAAAUAUAAAUUAUUUAAAACUUUCAACAACGGAUCUCUUGGUUCCGGCAUCGAUGAAGAACGCAGCGAAAUGCGAUACGUAAUGUGAAUUGCAAAUUCAGUGAAUCAUCGAGUCUUUGAACGCACAUUGCGCCCCCUGGUAUUCCGGGGGGCAUGCCUGUCCGAGCGUCAUUGCUGCCCUCAAGCCCGGCUUGUGUGUUGGGCCCCGUCCUCCGAUUCCGGGGGACGGGCCCGAAAGGCAGCGGCGGCACCGCGUCCGGUCCUCGAGCGUAUGGGGCUUUGUCACCCGCUCUGUAGGCCCGGCCGGCGCUUGCCGAUCAACCCAAAUUUUUAUCCAGGUUGACCUCGGAUCAGGUAGGGAUACCCGCUGAACUUAAGCAUAUCAAUAAGCGGAGGAA